UGGGGAAUAUUGCACAAUGGGGGAAACCCUGAUGCAGCGACGCCGCGUGAACGAAGAAGGUAUUCGUAUCGUAAAGUUCUGUCCUAUGGGAAGAUAAUGACAGUACCAUAGAAGAAAGCUCCGGCUAAAUACGUGCCAGCAGCCGCGGUAAUACGUAUGGAGCGAGCGUUGUCCGGAAUUAUUGGGCGUAAAGGGUACGCAGGCGGUUUAAUAAGUCGAAUGUUAAAGAUCGGGGCUCAACCCCGUAAAGCAUUGGAAACUGAUAAACUGGAGUAGUGGAGAGGAAAGUGGAAUUCCUAGUGUAGUGGUGAAAUACGUAGAUAUUAGGAGGAAUACCAGUAGCGAAGGCGACUUUCUGGACACAAACUGACGCUGAGGUACGAAAGCGUGGGGAGCAAACAGG
rnacentral:rRNA from 2 species